ensembl:lncRNA
CAGUUCCCAGGGAGACGCUGAGGCUUUGCUACUGAGGCAAUGCUGGGCACUGUGUCCUCAGGGGAAGGCAUGGGGUGGAGAAGCAGAGGGCACAGUGGUUGGCGAGUGUCUAGAGAGUACUUAAUCAAAAUUUGUACUCCAUUUCGGCUCACUGCCAAACUCCACAAUGAUUAUGUUACUGCUUUCUGUGGACCUUGAAGAUCACUGCACUUGAAAGGCGUACCAGCUUCCCAUCACUGGAUGCAUGCAGAAGGAGGAAGAAUCGGGAAAUGAAGUACCUCUCAACAGCAGUUUAAGUCAACAACUAAAAUUAAUUGCCUUCGCUUUCAAACUACAGUACUUGUGCAGGCUGCACAUGAACAGCCAAUUUCACACUCCUAGAAUCUGGCAAAAUGUUGACAAAACAGCCUCUUCUUGAAAAGAGAGGAAAAGUCAACCCUGCAUCUUGUAUCUCUUAAUAAGCCUCCUUUUUGUAAAAGGGUGCAGACAGUGAUCUUGCACUGCCAUGAUGGGCAACAUCAUUAAGAUCUAUACAGUUUUCCUUCUGCAACUUGAGAUUAUUGAGUGCAAAUAUUUGCUCAUAUCAGCUUGCGUAGAAGGCUGAUUUAGCUUGUAUGCAAUUAUAGUCUUGUGCACCUCAUACCCAAGAAACUCAGCAGUGCCAAAGGAGUAACUGGGCAUGUAACUUGAGCUCUGACCAUCAUGAAAGUACACUCCUGGAGAGAAGCUGGGUCCCGAGCCACUUUUCUGCCCCUCAGCAACGUCAUUGCCAUAUCCGUGCUUCACUUUGAACCUCUGUGCUUCAUGAGGCUUGGUCACCUCAGCAUUACUCAUGAACCCAAGUUUUACACUGCAUAUGUGCUUUUCUGUAGACUGAGGAGACACAAGCUGAGCAUAAAACAAAAUCUUUUUGAUUUGGCUAUUAUAUGAGAUGUUUUUGAUGCACCCACAAUCUACAAUGGGAAAAAGCUUGUCUGUCAGCCUUAGUCUAUCUCAGAUCUACUAAGUAGCUCUUAAAAUAAAUGGUUGUAAAUAUGGGGUAUGUAUAUGCUUAUUUAUAUGCUGUGUUUACAAGGAGCUUUGAAUUCCAUGCCAUUGUUUGUAAAUAUUCUAUAUAAUUCAUCUGUUUUUAUGUAUUAAUUUGUAUGUGUUCAUUUAUUUUUGGUAACAACCUGUUUCAUGGAAAUAUUUUAAUAAAAAUCUGUGAACAUGAGGAAAAGUAGAGCACAAUACAGAUGCACAAACAAACACUCGCUGCAUGACUCUGAGGAAAAAAAAAGUGUACAUGGGAUUCACACAUCAUGUAAAUAGAGAAACGUAUAAAACACCAAUGCAGACUGUAUGAAGCAUGUAAAUAAAGGCUAAGUGGGAACACC